rnacentral:rRNA from 1 species
AGCGGCGGACGGGUGAGUAACGCGUAGGCAACCUGCCCUUUGCAGAGGGAUAGCCUCGGGAAACCGGGAUUAAAACCUCAUAAUGCGGCUGGAAGACAUCUUCCGGUCGCCAAAGAUUUAUCGGCAAAGGAUGGGCCUGCGUCUGAUUAGCUAGUUGGUGGGGUAACGGCCUACUAAGGCAACGAUCAGUAGCCGACCUGAGAGGGUGAUCGGCCACAUUGGAACUGAGACACGGUCCAAACUCCUACGGGAGGCAGCAGUGGGGAAUAUUGCACAAUGGGGGAAACCCUGAUGCAGCAACGCCGCGUGAACGAUGAAGGCCUUCGGGUCGUAAAGUUCUGUCCUUGGGGAAGAAACAAAUGACGGUACCCUUGGAGGAAGCCCCGGCUAACUACGUGCCAGCAGCCGCGGUAAUACGUAGGGCGCAAGCGUUAUCCGGAAUUAUUGGGCGUAAAGAGCUCGUAGGCGGUUUGUCGCGUCUGCUGUGAAAGCCCGGGGCUCAACCCCGGGUCUGCAGUGGGUACGGGCAGACUAGAGUGCAGUAGGGGAGACUGGAAUUCCUGGUGUAGCGGUGAAAUGCGCAGAUAUCAGGAGGAACACCGAUGGCGAAGGCAGGUCUCUGGGCUGUAACUGACGCUGAGGAGCGAAAGCAUGGGGAGCGAACAGGAUUAGAUACCCUGGUAGUCCAUGCCGUAAACGUUGGGCACUAGGUGUGGGGGACAUUCCACGUUUUCCGCGCCGUAGCUAACGCAUUAAGUGCCCCGCCUGGGGAGUACGGCCGCAAGGCUAAAACUCAAAGGAAUUGACGGGGGCCCGCACAAGCGGCGGAGCAUGCGGAUUAAUUCGAUGCAACGCGAAGAACCUUACCAAGGCUUGACAUGAACCGGAAAGGCCUGGAAACAGGUCCCCCACUUGUGGCCGGUUUACAGGUGGUGCAUGGUUGUCGUCAGCUCGUGUCGUGAGAUGUUGGGUUAAGUCCCGCAACGAGCGCAACCCUCGUUCUAUGUUGCCAGCGGGUUAUGCCGGGGACUCAUAGGAGACUACCGGGGUCAACUCGGAGGAAGGUGGGGACGACGUCAAAUCAUCAUGCCCCUUAUGUCUUGGGCUUCACGCAUGCUACAAUGGCCGGUACAAAGGGUUGCGAUACUGUGAGGUGGAGCUAAUCCCAAAAAGCCGGUCUCAGUUCGGAUUGAGGUCUGCAACUCGACCUCAUGAAGUUGGAGUCGCUAGUAAUCGCAGAUCAGCAACGCUGCGGCGAAUACGUUCCCGGCCCUUGCACUCACCGCCCGUCAAG